rnacentral:tRNA from 1 species
AUUUAGAUAGCUUAAGUUUAAAGCCUAAUAUUGAAGAUAUUAUGAUGGGAUUGAAUCCCUUUAAAUA